UACGUAGGUGGCAAGCGUUGUCCGGAUUUACUGGGCGUAAAGAGCGCGCAGGCGGUCGUUCAAGUCGCGUGUGAAAGCCCCCGGCUCAACUGGGGAGGGUCACGCGAUACUGAUCGACUCGAAGGCAGGAGAGGGUAGUGGAAUUCCCGGUGUAGUGGUGAAAUGCGCAGAUAUCGGGAGGAACACCGGUGGCGAAGGCGGUUCUCUGGGCCUGACCUGGCGCUGAGGAGCGAAAGCGUGGGGAGCGAACAGG
rnacentral:rRNA from 1 species